GACGAACGCUGGCGGCGUGCCUAAUACAUGCAAGUCGAACGAACCGCGACUAGGUGCUUGCACUUGGUCAAGGUGAGUGGCGAACGGGUGAGUAACACGUGGGUAACCUACCUCAUAGUGGGGGAUAACAGUCGGAAACGACUGCUAAUACCGCAUAGGACAUAGGAUCACAUGAUCCAGUGAGGAAAGGUGGCGCAAGCUAUCGCUAAGAGAUGGACCCGCGGUGCAUUAGCUAGUUGGUAGGGUAAAGGCCUACCAAGGCGAUGAUGCAUAGCCGACCUGAGAGGGUGAUCGGCCACAUUGGGACUGAGACACGGCCCAAACUCCUACGGGAGGCAGCAGUAGGGAAUCUUCCGCAAUGGACGCAAGUCUGACGGGGCAACGCCGCGUGAGUGAAGAAGGUCUUCGGAUCGUAAAGCUCUGUUGUUAGAGAAGAACAGCGCAUAGAGUAACUGUUAUGCGUGUGACGGUAUCUAACCAGAAAGCCACGGCUAACUACGUG
rnacentral:rRNA from 1 species